UGGAGGAACAAGAAAGUGAUCCAAAAAGAAAUCAAGGUGGGAGACCUCGUCAUCAAGAAGAGGAAAAACUGGAAGAACCUCAGGAAAUUGCAAGAAACUUCGGAAGGGCCAUAUAUUGUCACUCGGAGCAAUGGGCCAGGAUCUUUCUACCUCGCAGACCAGCUUGGAGCAGAGUUGCCACAUACAUGGAAUGUAGACAACUUACGCAAGUACUAUCCUUAGUCGUCACAUUUAGCAAAGCAUUCAACUUGUGAAACUAUAAACAAUGUCGAGGGCACCAAAUUUACUUUUUCGCAUUUACUUUUUCACAAAUGGACUGCUCUCUUUUCCUUGCUAGGGGCCUCCACACUAAGGCAAGGUUUUUAACGAGGCGGAUCCAUGUAAACCUUUUGCUAUUUAAUGAAAUACAAUUCCCCCAAUGACUCUCGAUUAUCAAGUCUCAAAGAAGCUAUUA
rnacentral:lncRNA from 1 species